GCACUAUUUGUGUUGGUUGGAGGAGGUGGAGAUUUAUAUAUAAAUACCAACACAAAACCCAUCUAAGGCUCUAAGCUUCCCUAUUCCAUCGCUCCAAGCCUCCUACCAGACAAAAAUCAACGAAAACAAAGGAAAGACAAAAAACAUUAACACCUUGAUAGAGAGUUUGGGGAAGAAAAAAAAGAUAAGAAAUUAUUAGUAAG
rnacentral:lncRNA from 1 species